rnacentral:lncRNA from 1 species
CACCGUUGAUACACAUCCACCACCAUUGCCGAGACGACACCCACCACUAUCCUCCGCAUUUAGCUUAAAUGAAUCUUCUCCUAGUCCUGCUGCAGAUGCAAGCUAUGAUUCACCUUAUGUAUUUCUUUUCUUUUAUAUGCAGACAUAAACAAGAGAAUCAGGACCAUUAAUGACCGUUUUGGAAGAGGAUGAAAAUUCGUCGGCAGAAACUCAGAAUUAUGAUAACCGGAGGCUGAAACUUUCAAUAAUUCUUAUUAUUCAAUAAUCCAUUAAACAUGAAAAAAAGAAGAAGAAAGAAACAAUUACAAAACAGAAAAGGAAAGGAAAAAAACUAAACAACUAAUCCACUUUACUUACCGCCUGGACCGAAGCCACCAUCACAAAAAAGCCGUUCAUCGCCCAUCGCUCUGCGAUCCUUAUCACCUGAUAUGACCCGCCGUUCAUCAUUUGCCAUCCACAUUGCUCCUCUUACUCUCGGUGGUGCUUAGCAGUGGUGGAUCUUUGAUUGUACCAGUAGUGCUCAGCAAUGGACCAGCGGUGGAUUUUUGUUAAUACUAACGGUGGAUUUUUGUU